CUAACUCCGUGCCAGCAGCCGCGGUAAUACGGAGGGUGCGAGCGUUAAUCGGAAUUACUGGGCGUAAAGCGCAUGCAGGUGGUUUGUUAAGUCAGAUGUGAAAGCCCGGGGCUCAACCUCGGAAUUGCAUUUGAAACUGGCAAACUAGAGUACUGUAGAGGGGGUAGAAUUUCAGGUGUAGCGGUGAAAUGCGUAGAGAUCUGAAGGAAUACCGGUGGCGAAGGCGGCCCCCUGGACAGAUACUGACACUCAGAUGCGAAAGCGUGGGGAGCAAACAGGAUUAGAUACCCUCGGUAG
rnacentral:rRNA from 1 species